AUUGAACGCUGGCGGCAGGCCUAACACAUGCAAGUCGAGCGAGCGGCGGACGGGUGAGUAAUGUCUGGGAAACUGCCUGAUGGAGGGGGAUAACUACUGGAAACGGUAGCUAAUACCGCAUACCAUCAGAUGUGCCCAGAUGGGAUUAGCUAGUAGGUGGGGUAAUGGCUCGCCUAGGCGACGAUCCCUAGCUGGUCUGGGAGGAUGACAAGCGACACUGGAACUGAGACACGGUCCAGACUCCUACGGGAGGCAGCAGUGGGGAAUAGUGCACAAGGAGCGCAAGCCUGAUGCAGCCAUGCCGCGUGUGUGAAGAAGGCCUUCGGGUUUGAAAGCACUUUCAGCGGGGAGGAGUUACCCGCAGAAGAAGCACCGGCUAACUCCGUGCCAGCAGCCGCGGUAAUUC
rnacentral:rRNA from 1 species